CAGUUGACGGGGGAUAUGGAUAGCUUGCUAGAAAUAUCCCUAGUGGCGCACGGGUGAGUAACACGUGAGUAACAUGCCUCGCAGAGGGGAAUAGCCCGCCGAAAGGCGGAUUAAUACCCCAUGGUCCCGCAAGGGUAAAGGUGGCUUCGGCUGCCGCUGCGAGAUUGGCUCGCGUCCUAUCAGCUUGUUGGUGAGGUAACGGCUCACCAAGGCGACGACGGGUAGCUGGUCUGAGAGGACGAUCAGUCACACUGGAACUGAGACACGGUCCAGACACCUACGGGUGGCAGCAGUCGAGAAUAAUUCACAAUGGGCGAAAGCCUGAUGGUGCAACGCCGCGUGGAGGAUGAAGGCCCUAGGGUCGUAAACUCCUGUCAUUUGAGAGUAAGACCUGGCGGUCAAUAGCCGACAGGGUUGAUAGUAUCAAAAGAGGAAGGGACGGCUAACUUCGUGCCAGCAGCCGCGGUAAUACGAAGGUCCCGAGCGUUGUUCGGAAUCACUGGGCGUAAAGGGAGCGUAGGCGGUUGGGUAAGUCAGAUGUGAAAUCCCGGGGCUCAACCCCGGAACUGCAUCCGAUACUGCCUGACUAGAGUAAUGGAGGGGUAACUGGAAUUCUCGGUGUAGCAGUGAAAUGCGUAGAUAUCGAGAGGAACACUCGUGGCGAAGGCGAGUUACUGGACAUUUACUGACGCUGAGGCUCGAAGGCCAGGGUAGCGAAAGGGAUUAGAUACCCCUGUAGUCCUGGCAGUAAACGGUGUGCGCUUGGUGUGAGGGGUUUCGACCCCCCUUGUGCCGGAGCUAACGCGUUAAGCGCACCGCCUGGGGAGUACGGUCGCAAGACUAAAACUCAAAGAAAUUGACGGGGACCCGCA
rnacentral:rRNA from 1 species